rnacentral:rRNA from 1 species
GUGGCGAACGGGUGAGUAACGCGUGGAUAAUCUACCUACGAGAUGGGGAUAACUAUUAGAAAUAGUAGCUAAUACCGAAUAAGGUCAAUUGAGGUGUUAAUUGAUGAAAGGAAGCCUUUAAAGCUUCGCUUGUAGAUGAGUCUGCGUCUUAUUAGCUAGUUGGUGGGAUAAGAGCCUACCAAGGCUAUGAUAAGUAACCGGCCUGAGAGGGUGAUCGGUCACACUGGAACUGAGAUACGGUCCAGACUCCUACGGGAGGCAGCAGCUAAGAAUCUUCCGCAAUGGGCGAAAGCCUGACGGAGCGACACUGCGUGAACGAAGAAGGUCGAAAGAUUGUAAAGUUCUUUUAUAAGUGAGGAAUAAGCUUUGUAGGAAAUGACAAAGUGAUGACGUUAAUUUAUGAAUAAGCCCCGGCUAAUUACGUGCCAGCAGCCGCGGUAAUACGUAAGGGGCGAGCGUUGUUCGGGAUUAUUG